rnacentral:rRNA from 1 species
ACUCCUACGGGAGGCAGCAGUGGGGAAUUUUGGACAAUGGGCGAAAGCCUGAUCCAGCCAUGCCGCGUGCAGGAUGAAGGCCUUCGGGUUGUAAACUGCUUUUGUACGGAACGAAAAGGCCUUUUCUAAUAAAGAGGGCUAAUGACGGUACCGUAAGAAUAAGCACCGGCUAACUACGUGCCAGCAGCCGCGGUAAUACGUAGGGUGCAAGCGUUAAUCGGAAUUACUGGGCGUAAAGCGUGCGCAGGCGGUUAUGUAAGACAGUUGUGAAAUCCCCGGGCUCAACCUGGGAACUGCAUCUGUGACUGCAGAGCUAGAGUACGGUAGAGGGGGAUGGAAUUCCACGUGUAGCAGUGAAAUGCGUAGAUAUGCGGAGGAACACCGAUGGCGAAGGCAAUCCCCUGGACCUGUACUGACGCUCAUGCACGAAAGCGUGGGGAGCAAACAGGAUGAGAAACCCUUGUAGUCCCA